CCCGCAGGGUGCUGGGGCUGGGAGGCGAAAGUUCACCCGGUCAGGGGAGUCCAACCAGUCUCCCAGCAUGGCCUUUGGGAAGGGACGAGGCCUGCCCACGAUCCCCUAAUUUUAUAAACAUCCCAGCCUGGAACCAGAUUCUGAUAUGAAGCAGUGAGCAAUGCAGUGAUUCCAUAAGCCUGGAAAUUAGCAUAAUCAGAAUAUAAAUUUUUUAAAGCCACGUCCUGGCAUAUCGACCCUAUCCUUGGGGAAGCUGUCUCUGGUUGCCGUAUAUAAGGGGGCACAAGUUCAAUCCUUGUUCCAAAAAAGAAGAUCUCAUGUGCUGCUUGGCAGAGACCAAACAAACAAACAAAAAAACAGGUUCAAUAGCAGCAGAGGAGAGGAGGUCUGCAAUCUUAAACUUGCUUUUCCAGGAGACUGCCAACAAGCACAGCCAGCUCUCAAGCUGUAUUGCGCAAAGAUUUGCAGCCCACAAAGAUCGGGAGUUUUUUUCAAAGGACCUCUUAAGUGAGCAACUGAGAUCUCAAAAAGUUCACCAAGACCUCCAGGAUCCAUCAUCUUCCUCAUCCUGAGUGCUGCUCCUGUUACUGCUGCUUCUCUGACCAGCCAGCCAGGAGGUGGUCAGCAGACAACAUACCCAAAGACUGGCUCCUCCAGUUGGAGAAAUGACCUUACUUCAAGGUGAUUCAGGGAGUGAAGGUCAAGCCCCAGAUGAGCUGUUUCUACAGUGGAAGCCCAUUAUUCAAGCCUUAUCUUCAUCUGUAAAUUGUGAAUACUAUUCAUAUCUACUUGAUUCAAGGUUCAGCUGAAAUGACACCUGUGAAACUUCUUCCCCAGAACCAUCUUAGCAAAUGUAUAAAAUGCUGCAUAAAUAUUAGUUGUUCCAUAUGGAGGAUAUUUGAAUCUCAUUCGUCCCAACCCUCUGGUCUCUAUCAGGUAAACUGGGUCUGCUGACAGAGCAUGAAUAUUAAGAAACAUACAAAAAUGCAGCCCACCCAUUUGGACCUACUGCUGCAUCUUGUUCUCUAACCACUUGGUUUCCUAGCAAAGAUCUCAUUAACCCACUGAAACCCUUCUUUGAUGGGCAUUCGGACAGGUACUUCCCUCAGCAGUCUCUCCUUAGAUAGCCUUUAAUGAUAUCCCUCAUAUUCCACACAUUAUAUAGUGUUAGGCAAGAGGCACUCCUAUCUUCUUCCUUGCUCUGUUACAGGCUGGGCUGAUCCCAGACAACGGCUCAGUGGAAGGUUGAUGGGACAAAUAUGUACCUUAUCAGAUAUCCAAUGAAGAAGAGAAUUUAAGUAAAUAAACCUGUUCGGUAAAUACAGUACACAAGACUUCCCUGGUGGUACAGUGGGAAGGAAUCCCUUGCCAGUGCAGGGGACCAAGGUUUGAUCCCUGGAUCGGGAACAUCCCCUGGAGAAGGAAAUGGCAACCUGCUCCAGCAGUCUUGCCUGGGAAAUCCCAUGGACAGAGGACCCUGGGGCGCCACAGUCCACGGGGUUGCAAAAGAGUUAGACACGACGUAGUGAGUAAACAACAAAAACAGCUCCACAUUAACUGGUACAAUGCUAAGAAUUUUACAGAUGCUCAAUUAAUAUUUGUUGAUAAGACCACUAAACAUCCUUGCUUUCCUCAAAUCUUUGCACAUUUGAGUUUGUCUGGGUUCUGAAGUUCAUCUCAAAAUAUUUUCUCUGAAUACAAGGAAGCACAUUGUGAGGUCUUUUGAAACUGAGAACUUGUCAACCUUUUUUUUUCUUUAUAUCCAUAGACUUCCUAGAACAACUUCUUAAAAAGUCUAUAGAUAGUCUCUUUUACUUAAAAAUUUUAUUGUGACAAAAUAUAUAUCACAUUAAAUUUACCACUUUAACCAUUUUUAAGUGCACAAUUCAGUGGCAUUAAUUACAUUUGCAAUGUUGUGUCACUUUUUUUGUCAGCUGAAUAGAAUUCCUAAUAUGUUUGUGACAGAGACGGAUGAAGUGUUAGCUAAGAAACAAUUGUAGUGAGCUUUAAGAACAUUUCAUAAUCACAAAAUACUUAUCAGAGGACACAAAUACGUACAACAUAUGAAUUGAGUAGGUCCUGAGCCCCAUCCCAUGGAGUUAGGAAAUCCCCAUAACUGUUGUGCAAUGUGCAGCAUCAGAUCUUCGUUGGAACAGGAUCGUCUUAUGUCAGGCCAACAAAAACUUGGCAUUGAUGCAUAAUUAAUGAACUGAGAAAUGUAUUAAUGAGAUUUCUCUCUAAUUAAUGUUUCCCCAAUAUCUGGCAUGAAAGCAAAGCUGCAUUAAUUAGUAGAGUGGGUGUUUGUCUCUGUGUGUGUAUGUGUGAUUGUUUGUGGAUGUUGUGCAUCUGUGGUUAUAGUCUGACAUAUUUCAUUUGCAGUGUUUUUCCUUCCUGACUCUUAUUCUCCUUCCUCAUUUGCGCCCCCUCAUCACUCCUUUUGUUUAUCUCAGGACUGCCAUUAUGUUUUUGUGUGUGGAUAGGGGGAAGGAGUGACAGAUUGAACAAUUCCAUUUUUAGAUGGAUGUCAGCAUACAUGAAUUCAUCAAUAUUUCAUAAUCUAGGUGGUGAAAGCCCCUCCUUUUCUUAGAGCAAAGAGGACAUUAUGCUCUGUGUGUGCAGCUUAACUACCAUUAAUGUUAAUUAAAUCAUGCAGGCAAAGCCCCUUUCUUGAGUUGAUAACAUGCUUUAGUGUACAUCAUCGUCAAUUGUAAGUCAACUCUUAAUCAUCUUGGGUAGCAGGAGAGAUAAAUCCCCCUGCUGAGCAAAAGCACCUCAUGCAGGGAUUAUUGGCCAACAUUAGGAUCUGAACUUAAAAUUGUAACUCUUUCCUUUCCUUCGAACUUCUACUAUUGUUAGUUAAGUCAAAAAUUCCCCCAGGAAAUGAACAAAUACGAGUGUGUAUGUGUUUAUAAGCAGUGUGUGGGGUGCAGGGAGAAAGCAGAGAUAAAGGAACAUUGACGGCUAAGAGGAAGAAUAUUUUUUUAUUCAUGUUUUAGGGUUACAAAAGUACUUAAUUCAUUUUUUCAAAAUCUUGUAUUUGAAUAACAUGUCUUUGCAGAUAUAAAAGAUCUUCCAUGUGUUCUGAUAGUAUAAUGAAAUAGCCACUGCUGAAAAAUUUACUCCUUACAUGGGGUAAACAUUUCUUCACUCCACAGAUAUUCAUGAAAUGUCUUAUGUGCCAGGUCGUGACUUGCUACAAAGAUAAUUAAGACUAAGUUUUUGCUAUCAAGGAGCUCCCUGAUUAGUGGGAGAGACUGACACAUAAACAGAUACUUAAAACAUGUGAGCAAGCAGUUCAGUUCGCUAGAGCUUAAAUUCAAGCUAGAGAGUGAUGAAAGGCACGGCUGGAAAGCUAGGGGAAGGCCGAAGAGAAAGCCUUGAAUUACACAUUGUGCUAGUCAGGGCAAGAACUGCUGCCACUACAAUGGUUUGAAAUGCUGGAAGUGCUGUUCUCACUCUCAGAUCAGUUUAGUGCAAGCCAUGGCUCUAUCCAGGGCAUUGAGGCUUCCUCCAGCAUCUGCCCCAUCUGUCAACAGACUGGAGAAGAGACGAGCGAGUUAGGCCUGGGCCCGCCUCGGGGUGACACACUUCACUUCUCCCCACGGUGAUCACACGCCUCAGUUUAUGCCUGAAUUCCUAGGACAGCAAUUAACAGUGCAAGUGUCCUCUUGCACUCCCAAUAGUGUCCUAAUUUGGGCAAUACAUUGUAUGAUCACCCUAACGUCUUCCACCUCCAGGGACCAGAAUUCAAUCACAUCGUCGCACCUAACCUCAAGGGAGGCUGGGAAAUCUAUGUCAACAAGGGGAAAAGGCAGUGAAUUUUGGUGAAUGCAAGGCACUCCCCGAUGCACAUGUCAAAGCAUUAGAGAGUUAUCCUCUAUAUCCAUUGCCUUUUAAACAUUUCCUCCUAAAUACUGAUAUGUCUUUGAAACCUUAUUGCUUAUCUUAAAAAUUCAUUUGAAUUUUGGAUCCUGCUCCAUAAUAUAUUUGUGUUUUUCUUUUUAAUUAAUUAAUUAUUUUUGUCUGUGCUGGAUCUUCAUUGCUGCGCUCUGGCUUUCUUUGGCUGCAAGCAGCGGGGGCGCCUUUCGAGUGCACAGGUGCACAGGUAUCGAAUUGGGGUGGCUUCUCUUGUUGAGAGAUACAGGCUCUAGGUGCGUGGGCUUCAGUAGCUGUAGCACUCUGACUCAGCAGCUGUGGCCCAUGGACUCAGUUGCUCUGUGGCAUGUGGUAUCUUCCUGGACCAGGAAUCGAACCCGUGUCUCCUGCAUUAACAGGCAGAUUGUUGUCCACUAUACCACCAGGGAAGUCUCCCAUGUUUCUCCUAAAAUAAGAUUAAUGUGCUUCUUUCUUCAAAAAUCUUCACAGAUAAAUAAUGCUCCAGGAAUAUUUGCCAAAGUUAGUUGUUAUUUUAUUGACUCCUAGAAGAGCCAUACACCACUGAGACACACACCACUGAAUAGUCUUAGACAGAAUGACCUGGACAGAUUUUCAUUUUAAAAAGAACCCUCUGACACCUCUGUUAGUGUAGAUUCCCAGUGGCAGAUCAGAGAGACCAAUCCAGGUUUUUACAGUUAUCUGGGUGAAAGAUGAUAAGCCAUCUGAUUUAGGUUAGUGCUGGUAGAAAUUGUAGGAGAUUAAUUCAACAGGACUGAACCAAGAAAGAAUUUGACUAUGUAAAAAUUAAAUGCUUCAGUAAAAACAUAAUAAAACUGUGAAGCAAGGGGCAAACUGGGGAAAACAUUUGUGACACCUGAAUGAUAUGAAAGAUAAGGAGGUUGAUAUUCCUAAUAUUCAAAGUGGUCUUAUGACUCAAUAAGAUAAAAAACUUUCUAAUAGAAAAAAUGGAUGCAGCAAUUUAUCAAAGAAUAUAAUUGCCCUACAAAAUGUUAAAACUUCACUAACGAUCAAAAAGUAGAAAUAAAAAGACAAGAACUACUUUUCGUUACCAGAUUAGUAAAGAAAUUCUCAUCAUAGCACAUAUAUAUGUUCAAGGUUGGGCUUCCUCAGUGGUUCAGCAAUAAAGAAUCCGCCUGCAAUGAAGGAGACACAGGAGGCACAGAUUUGAUCCCUGGAUGGAGAAGAUCCCCUGGAGGAGGAAAUGGCAACCCACUCCUGUAUUCUUGCCUGGAGAAUCUCAUGGACAGAGGAGCCUGGUGGGCUGCCGUCCAUGGGGUCGAGAAAGAGUCGGAUACAAAUGAAGCAACUACGCAUACACCACACGUACAAGGUAUCAGUAUCAGUGCUAUCCUAACUGUUAAAAUUGAAAAAAAGUAUUUCUUUCGAUGAAAGAUUCGUUAAAUAAAUUACGACAUAUUCCUAUCAAUGGAAAUUAUACAACCAUUAAAAAGUGAAAAAAAUAUUGUGUAUAUCUAUGUUGAUUGAAGUAGAAAGACUUCUGUGACCUGUUAAGUAAAAAAACAGAAUGUUUCCCAACUCCUUGUGUAACAUGCCUCACUUUCUAUAAAAUUGUCUGUAUGUGUGUUCAGGAAUGUGCAUGUGUGUAUAUAGAGAGAUAUCUAUAAGGCUGUUCCACAGAAUAUUAAAACAGUGCUUAUUUCUAGGUAGUAGGGUAGGAGAUAAUUUUUAGUUAUUUUUCUCUGUCUUUUUAUAUCGUUUUUAAAUUUAAAAAUAAAUAUUAUUGUUUUA